ACAUCAAAAAACAUAAAAAAAAAAUCAAAUAUAAAAUUAUAAGACGUACCGAUUAGUCGUUGUGUUACCCAAAUGUAGGACUCGAUUAAUCCAUGCUCCAACAAAUCUAUGCCUAUGUGGAGUCAACCAUGUGUCUUUCACAUAAUUAAUAAAUCCACUAUAAUCAACACAUGCUUGCUCAAGUUGAUGCAACCGCUGACCAUACUCAACCUCAUCACUAGCCCAGACAACUUCCAUCCAUAAUGUGUCUAUCGUCUUUUGCAGGUCAUUCACCACAUGUUG
rnacentral:lncRNA from 1 species